rnacentral:rRNA from 1 species
GCACAAGCGGUGGAGCAUGUGGUUCAAUUCGACGCAACGCGAAGAACCUUACCUGGGCUCGAAGCGCAGUGGACUGGGGUAGAAAUAUCCCUUUCUCGCAAGAGACUGCUGCGGAGGUGCUGCAUGGCUGUCGUCAGCUCGUGUCGUGAGAUGUUGGGUUAAGUCCCGCAACGAGCGCAACCCUCGUUCGAUGUUGCCAGCGGGUUAUGCCGGGGACUCAUCGAAGACUGCCGGGGUCAACUCGGAGGAAGGUGGGGAUGACGUCAAGUCAUCAUGCCCCUUAUGUCCAGGGCUUCACGCAUGCUACAAUGGCCGGUACAAAGGGCUGCGAUGCCGUAAGGUGGAGCGAAUCCCAAAAAGCCGGUCUCAGUUCGGAUCGGGGUCUGCAACUCGACCCCGUGAAGUCGGAGUCGCUAGUAAUCGCAGAUCAGCAUUGCUGCGGUGAAUACGUUCCCGGGC